rnacentral:rRNA from 1 species
GACGAACGCUGGCGGCGUGCUUAACACAUGCAAGUCGAACGGUAAGGCCCUUCGGGGUACACGAGUGGCGAACGGGUGAGUAACACGUGGGUGAUCUGCCCUGCACUUCGGGAUAAGCCUGGGAAACUGGGUCUAAUACCGGAUAGGACCACUGCCUGCAUGGGUGGUGGUGGAAAGCUUUUGCGGUGUGGGAUGGGCCCGCGGCCUAUCAGCUAGUUGGUGGGGUAAUGGCCUACCAAGGCAUCGACGGGUAGCUGGUCUGAGAGGAUGAUCAGCCACACUGGGACUGAGACACGGCCCAGACUCCUACGGGAGGCAGCAGUGGGGAAUCUUGCGCAAUGGGCGAAAGCCUGACGCAGCAACGCCGCGUGCGGGAAGAAGGCCUUCGGGUCGUAAACCGCUUUCAGCAGGAACGAAAAUGACGGUACCUGCAGAAGAAGGUGCGGCCAACUACGUGCCAGCAGCCGCAGUAA